UACGUAGGGUGCGAGCGUUAAUCGGAAUUACUGGGCGUAAAGCGUGCGCAGGCGGUUUUGUAAGUCUGUCGUGAAAUCCCCGGGCUCAACCUGGGAAUUGCGAUGGAGACUGCAAGGCUAGAAUCUGGCAGAGGGGGGUAGAAUUCCACGUGUAGCAGUGAAAUGCGUAGAGAUGUGGAGGAACACCGAUGGCGAAGGCAGCCCCCUGGGCUAACACUGACGCUCAUGCACGAAAGCGUGGGAGCAACAGGAUU
rnacentral:rRNA from 1 species